GCGAAGUAGCUGAUUUCACACUGUCAAGAAAAGUCUCUAUCGAGGUUAAAGGUACCCGUACCGCAAACCGACACAGGUGGGUGAGGAGAGUAUCCUAAGGCCAGCGAGAGAACUGUUGUUAAGGAACUCGGCAAAAUGACCCCGUAACUUAGGGAUAAGGGGUGCCACCAUCAGGUGGCCGCAGAGAAUAGGCCCAAGCGACUGUUUACCAAAAACAUAGGUUUCUGCUAAGUCGCAAGACGAUGUAUAGGAGCUGACGCCGGCCCGGUGCUGGAAGGUUAAGGGGAUCUGUUAGAGCAAUCGAAGCAGUGAACUUAAGCCCCAGUAAACGGCGGCCGUAACUAUAACGGUCCUAAGGUAGCGAAAUUCCUUGUCGGGUAAGUUCCGACCCGCACGAAAGGCGUAACGAUUUGGGCACUGUCUCA
rnacentral:rRNA from 1 species